AAGUUGCUUUUGCUGUUUCUUCUGUCUCCCCACAGCUCCACGCCUGGUACUGCUACUUGUUUCAAAUCCAGGGCUUCUUUGAUAUUCCAGUGGAUAAUUUGUAUGCUGAACCUGCUGUGCUUCAGUGAAUUGGAGAAAGCAUCCUAGAGUUAGAAGAAUUAUAUCAUCGUGUCACCUGAUGCUGAUCUAGCCAAAAGGCUGAACAGUUCAUCUGGGCAGAUAUGUGUAAAAAUCGGCAUUGACAGACAGUGUGAGAUUUCAAGAUGGAGAAGAGCCCCUCUCCUCAAAAGAAAGACGAUUAGCUCUCUGCAACCCAGCAUCACUGAAGAGAUGAAGCGAGACGGGGUUGACGAUUUCUGAUCACACCCCAGAAGGAAUCCUGUCAUGGGAGCGGCAGCCUCAGAAUGCAUCUUUCUGAUGACCUGGAGAAGACUGGAGAAUCUGCUAACUGUUGAAUCAGAUUUUCCCCAGAUGCCGACUCAUUCAUUCUCUGGUGGCUUGGAUCCAAUCCACUAGGAAUCACUCAACUCAUCUUCAAGAGCCUCCAAGGUUGUCAACUAGGAGGGAGAGCUGUGAGCUCUUUCCUUUGGGAAAAGUUGGAAAACUAGAGCCUUGUUCCAGCUAACUUAGGUAAUGCUCUUUGAUUAACCUUUGUCCUACUGGAUAGUCCUCUAGACUGUCAGCUCGUGGUGGGCAGAAUAAAUCUACCAACUCUGUUGUAUUG